GAUGAACGCUGGCGGCGUGCCUAAUACAUGCAAGUCGAGCGAACAGACGAGGCGCUUGCUCCUCUGACGUUAGCGGCGGACGGGUGAGUAACACGUGUAUACCCUACCUAUAAGACUGGGAUAACUUCGGGAAACCGGAGCUAAUACCAGAUAACAUGUUGAACCGCAUGGUUCAACAGUGAAAUACGGUCUUGCUGUCUCUUAUAGAUGGAUCCGCGCCGCAUUAGCUAGUUGGUAAGGUAACGGCUUAUCAAGGCAACGAUGCGUAGCCGACCUGAGAGGGUGAUCGGCCACACGGGAGCUGAGACACGGUCCAGACGCCUACGGGAGGCAGCAGUAGGGAAUCUUCCGCAAUGGGCGAAAGCCUGACGGAGCAACGCCGCGUGAGUGAAGAAGGUCUUCGGAUCGUAAAACUCUGUUAUUAGGGAAGAACAAAUGUGUAAGUAACUAUGCACGUCUUGACGGUACCUAAUCAGAAAGCCACGGCUAACUACGUG
rnacentral:rRNA from 1 species